rnacentral:rRNA from 1 species
UACGGGGGAUGCAAGCGUUAUCCGGAUUUAUUGGGUUUAAAGGGUGCGUAGGCUGUGAGGUAAGUCAGCGGUGAAAUGCCCCCGCUCAACGGGGUGAAGUGCCAUUGAUACUGCCUUGCUGGAAUGCGGAUGCCGUGGGAGGAAUGUGUGGUGUAGCGGUGAAAUGCAUAGAUAUCACACAGAACACCGAUUGCGAAGGCAUCUCACGAAUCCGCUAUUGACGCUGAUGCACGAAAGCGUGGGGAGCAAACAGG